rnacentral:rRNA from 1 species
AACGAACGCUGGCGGCAUGCCUAACACAUGCAAGUCGAACGGGAUCCGGACUUCGGCUCGGUGAGAGUGGCGGACGGGUGAGUAACGCGUGGGAACCUGCCGAGUGGUGGGGGAUAACUGCGGGAAACUGCAGCUAAUACCGCAUGAGCCCGAGAGGGGGAAGAUUUAUCGCCAAUGGAGGGGCCGGCGUUCGAUUAGGUAGUUGGUGAGGUAAUGGCUCACCAAGCCGACGAUCGAUAGCUGGUCUGAGAGGAUGAUCAGCCACACUGGGACUGAGAUACGGCCCAGGCUCCUACGGGAGGCAGCAGUGGGGAAUAUUGGACAAUGGGGGCAACCCUGAUCCAGCAAUGCCGCGUGAGUGAUGAAGGCCUUCGGGUUGUAAAGCUCUUUUGCCAGGGACGAUGAUGACGGUACCUGGAGAAUAAGCCCCGGCUAGCUUCGUGCCAGCCGCCGCAGUAAUAC